CCCUUAGAUGUUCUGGACCGCACGCGCGCUACACUGAUGAACGCAACGAGACCACCUGUACCGAAAGGCAUGGGUAAACUUGUGAAAGUUCAUCGUGAUGGGGAUAGAUUAUUGCAAUUAUUAAUCUUCAACGAGGAAUUCCUAGUAAGCGCGAGUCAUCAGCUCGCGUUGAUUACGUCCCUGCCCUUUGUACACACCGCCCGUCGCUCCUACCGAUUGAAUGGUCCGGUGAAAUCUUCGGAUUGCUGGAUAGGACUUCAUUGACCUAUCUGCGAGAAGUUGCUUGAACCUUAUCAUUUAGAGGAAGGAGAAGUCGUAACA
rnacentral:rRNA from 1 species